rnacentral:rRNA from 1 species
UACGACUACAUAUCAGGCAUAUCAAUAAGCGGAGGAAAAGAAACUAACAAGGAUUCCCUUAGUAACGGCGAGUGAAGCGGGAAGAGCUCAAAUUUGAAAUCUUCAAGGUUCUACCUUGACGAAUUGUAGUUUAAAGAAGUGUUUUCUGUUAGAUGAGUAGCAAAAGUUCCUUGGAAUGGGACAUCAUAGAGGGUGAGAAUCCCGUAUUUGGUUAUUCAUUCUAGCUUUGUGAUGCACUUUCAAAGAGUCGGAUUGUUUGGGAAUGCAGUCCAAAAUGGGUGGUAAAUUUCAUCUAAAGCUAAAUAUUGGCGAGAGACCGAUAGCGAACAAGUACCGUGAGGGAAAGAUGAAAAGAACUUUGAAAAGAGAGUUAAACAGUACGUGAAAUUGUCAAAAGGGAAGCGUUUGACACCAGUGUUGUUUUUCCGAAAAUCAAUUACGAAUGGCUUGAUUUUGUGUUGUAUUGACCUUAUCAGGCUUUCUUCACUUUUUUCGAGUCUUUCUUAAUGCACUUUUCGGUUAACAAGUCAACAUCAAUUUCUUUUGUUGUAAAAGAGUAUUCGGAAGGUGGCUUUCUUUUCGGAGAAAGUGUUUAUAGCCCUAUACUUCUACAAUCGGAGAGAUUGAGGUCUGCAGCGUAGAUCCUUCGGGGUUAGAUACACUUUGUGCUAAGUUGUAGCUUUUCAUAGACAACUUGUUGACUAUGUCUAGUCAUGCGGCUUACUCGCUUAUGCUAUUUUACCUACGCUUAGGAUGUUGAGUAGCGACAUACGCAC